rnacentral:rRNA from 1 species
UCCUGGUCGGACAUCAGGAGGUUAGUGCAAUGGCAUAAGCCAGCUUGACUGCGAGCGUGACGGCGCGAGCAGGUGCGAAAGCAGGUCAUAGUGAUCCGGUGGUUCUGAAUGGAAGGGCCAUCGCUCAACGGAUAAAAGGUACUCCGGGGAUAACAGGCUGAUACCGCCCAAGAGUUCAUAUCGACGGCGGUGUUUGGCACCUCGAUGUCGGCUCAUCACAUCCUGGGGCUGAAGUAGGUCCCAAGGGUAUGGCUGUUCGCCAUUUAAAGUGGUACGCGAGCUGGGUUUAGAACGUCGUGAGACAGUUCGGUCCCUAUCUGCCGUGGGCGCUGGAGAACUGAGGGGGGCUGCUCCUAGUACGAGAGGACCGGAGUGGACGCAUCACUGGUGUUCGGGUUGUCAUGCCAAUGGCACUGCCCGGUAGCUAAAUGCGGAAGAGAUAAGUGCUGAAAGCAUCUAAGCACGAAACUUGCC